AACGAACGCUGGCGGCAUGCCUAACACAUGCAAGUCGAACGAGACCUUCGGGUCUAGUGGCGCACGGGUGCGUAACGCGUGGGAACCUGCCCUUAGGUUCGGAAUAACUCAGAGAAAUUUGAGCUAAUACCGGAUAAUGUCUUCGGACCAAAGAUUUAUCGCCUUUGGAUGGGCCCGCGUAGGAUUAGCUUGUUGGUGGGGUAAUGGCCUACCAAGGCGACGAUCCUUAGCUUGUCUGAGAGGAUGAUCAGCCACACUGGGACUGAGACACGGCCCAGACUCCUACGGGAGGCAGCAGUGGGGAAUAUUGGACAAUGGGCGAAAGCCUGAUCCAGCAAUGCCGCGUGAGUGAUGAAGGCCUUAGGGUUGUAAAGCUCUUUUACCAGGGAUGAUAAUGACAGUACCUGGAGAAUAAGCUCCGGCUAACUCCGUG
rnacentral:rRNA from 1 species